CCGAGGGGUGACACCAAAAUGCCAGCUCCUGCUUAGAGACAGGAGCUGGGUGCUGCACUGUUACAUUAUGUGCAGCACUCGGCUCCUGUCACUCUGUAGGAGCCAGCACUGCAAGCACAGCACUCCCCGGGAGUGAGUCUACACCUCCUAAACCCCCCAAGUGACAAAAAAAACGGGUGUCGGGACACGAAGCUCCGCCCCUUCUCAGAAAGCACCGCCCCUUUCCAGUCAUUCAAGCAGUGAAAACGGAUGCCAGCCCGUGAAGCCCCGCCCCUUCUCGUGAAGCCCCGCCCCCUCUUUUGCCGCCGCACCGGGUGUCCAAGAGAUAUGAAUUAGGCCCAUGGUCAAGAAGUUCACAACAAACACCAGAAUGGAGAAGAUAUACGAUGUGUCUAGCCCCAAUACACCAUGUACUGUGAGAUGCCUGAUGCGAAAUUUGCAAGAAUUGCUCUAAUGCUGCCAGAAGACAAAUAAUAUUAUGUGCCUCACACAAGAAGAUGUGGUGGGAGAUUGUGCAAGUGCCUCAAUUAACGCCCUUUAAUGAAAGAGAAAGAGAAAAACAACUAUGCUUUGUGCUAUGUGGUUCACCUCAAAACCAUGAGACCGUUUCGGACAUAAGAUAAAUGUUUCUUGUUAUUGUUCUAGAUUUAGCACAGAUUAAUUGUGAGGUUAACUUGGCAUCAACGUUUUUUUCCAUUUCAGUUUAUCUUUCAUCUUUCAAGUCAUAAAAUGGUACUAGCUGUACUUUCACUCUCA